GCCAACGUCCAUACCACGUUGAACACACCGGUUCUCGUCCGAUCACCGAAGUUAAGCAACGUCGGGCGCGGUCAGUACUUGGAUGGGUGACCGCCUGGGAACACCGCGUGCCGUUGGCUCUU
rnacentral:rRNA from 1 species